AGCAGCCGCGGUAAUUCCAGCUCCAAUAGCGUAUAUUAAAGUUGUUGCAGUUAAAAAGCUCGUAGUUGAAUUUCGGGAUCAAGUCGUCGGUCGUGCCUCGGUACGCACUGGUGACAUUGGUUUCUCCCUUCUGAAGAACCUUGAUGUCAUUAAUUUGGUGUCUUGGGGAAUCAGGACUGUUACUUUGAAAAAUUAGAGUGUUUAAAGCAGGCUCACGCUUGAAUACAUUAGCAUGGAAUAAUGAAAUAGGACGUUUGAUUCUAUUUUGUUGGUUUCUAGGAUCGACGUAAUGAUUAAUAGGGAUAGUUGGGGGCAUUAGUAUUCAAUUGUCAGAGGUGAAAUUCUUGGAUUUAUUGAAGACUAACUACUGCGAAAGCAUUUGCCAAGGAUGUUUUCAUUAAUCAAGAACGAAAGUUAGGGGAUCGAAGACGAUCAGAUACCGUCGUAGUCUUAACCAUAAACUAUGCCGACUAGGGAUCGGAUGAUGUUAAUUUUUAAUGACUCAUUCGGCGCCUUAAC
rnacentral:rRNA from 1 species